CGCAGCCGCGGGAAUACGGAGGGUGCAAGCGUUAUCCGGAUUUAUUGGGUUUAAAGGGUCCGUAGGCGGAUCUGUAAGUCAGUGGUGAAAUCUCACAGCUUAACUGUGAAACUGCCAUUGAUACUGCAGGUCUUGAGUAAAUUUGAAGUGGCUGGAAUAAGUAGUGUAGCGGUGAAAUGCAUAGAUAUUACUUAGAACACCAAUUGCGAAGGCAGGUCACUAAGAUUUAACUGACGCUGAUGGACGAAAGCGUGGGGAGCAAACAGGAUUAGAUACCCGUGUAGUCCCUGUCUCUUAUACA
rnacentral:rRNA from 1 species